rnacentral:rRNA from 1 species
CAGUAGCCGCGGGAAUACGGAGGGUGCAAGCGUUAAUCGGAAUUACUGGGCGUAAAGCGUGCGUAGGCGGUUCGUUAAGUCUGUUGUGAAAGCCCCGGGCUCAACCUGGGAAUGGCAAUGGAUACUGGCGAGCUAGAGUGUGUCAGAGGGUGGUGGAAUUCCCGGUGUAGCAGUGAAAUGCGUAGAGAUCGGAAGGAACAUCUGUGGCGAAGGCGACUAUCUGGGCCAACACUGACACUGAGGCACGAAAGCGUGGGGAGCAAACAGGAUUAGAUACCCCCGUAGUCCCUGUCUCUUAUAC